AUUGAACGCUGGCGGCAGGCUUAACACAUGCAAGUCGAGCGAGUGGCGGACGGGUGAGUAAUGUCUGGGAAACUGACUGAUGGAGGGGGAUAACUACUGGAAACGGUAGCUACUACCGCAUACCAUCAGAUGUGCCCAGAUGGGAUUAGCUAGUGGGUGGGGUAAUGGCUCACCAAUGCGACGAUCCCUAGCUGGUCUGAGAGGAUGACCAGCCACACUGGAACUGAGCCACGGUCCAGACUCCUACGGGAGGCAGCAGUGGGGAAUAUUGCACAAUGGGCGCAAGCCUGAUGCAGCCAUGCCGCGUGUGUGAAGAAGGCCUUCGGGUUGUAAAGUACUUUCAGCGGGGAGGCGUUACUCGCAGAAGAAGCACCGGCUAACUCCGUGCCAGCAGCCGCGGUAAUUC
rnacentral:rRNA from 1 species